CUUACACAUGCAAGUCGAACGGCAGCACGGGUGCUUGCACCUGGUGGCGAGUGGCGAACGGGUGAGUAAUACAUCGGAACAUGUCCUGUAGUGGGGGAUAGCCCGGCGAAAGCCGGAUUAAUACCGCAUACGAUCUACGGAUGAAAGCGGGGGGCCUUCGGGCCUCGCGCUAUAGGGUUGGCCGAUGGCUGAUUAGCUAGUUGGUGGGGUAAAGGCCUACCAAGGCGACGAUCAGUAGCUGGUCUGAGAGGACGACCAGCCACACUGGGACUGAGACACGGCCCAGACUCCUACGGGAGGCAGCAGUGGGGAAUUUUGGACAAUGGGCGAAAGCCUGAUCCAGCAAUGCCGCGUGUGUGAAGAAGGCCUUCGGGUUGUAAAGCACUUUUGUCCGGAAAGAAAUCCUUGGUUCUAAUAUAGCCGGGGGAUGACGGUACCGGAAGAAUAAGCACCGGCUAACUACGUGCCAGCAGCCGCGGUAAUACGUAGGGUGCGAGCGUUAAUCGGAAUUACUGGGCGUAAAGCGUGCGCAGGCGGUUUGCUAAGACCGAUGUGAAAUCCCCGGGCUCAACCUGGGAACUGCAUUGGUGACUGGCAGGCUAGAGUAUGGCAGAGGGGGGUAGAAUUCCACGUGUAGCAGUGAAAUGCGUAGAGAUGUGGAGGAAUACCGAUGGCGAAGGCAGCCCCCUGGGCCCAUAAUGACGCUCAUGCACGA
rnacentral:rRNA from 1 species